CAUAUUCAUGCUGCCACAUGAAAAUCAAAAGUGAUUUAAAUAUGUGUGAUCGUGUAUUAAAUUGAUUUCUGAUAAUGAAAUUGUGAAUUUUUGAGAUGAUACUUUAGUCUUGAAUAGAAAAAUCAUGAUAAUUUAAAAAAGAAAAUUUAAUAUUCUCUUUUUUUUAAGAAGAGUAGUUUUUUAAGGUUAAGUUCAUUUUUCAAGAAGUUUUAUUUAUAUCUUAUAUGGAUUGAAAUAAGAAAGAUAUAAAAUAAUUGAGUGAAAAAGUUACAGCGCUUCCAACAUCAAAGGGCACCGAAGAUCCUCUACACUAACACAACGUGUUCAAUAGCGACUCACCCGUCAAUUUGCAUGGUUGCGUCCACCAGAGAUGUUUUCUUCGGAUUGUCUCCAGCCCAACGAUGCCUUUGGAUAGCCAGGACACCGGCACGACGACGGAGGAAGAUCAAUGACAUCCCUCUCAACGGUUUUUUUUAGAUUAAUCCCGAUAACCAACUCCGCCCAACUGGAGAUCCAGUAUGGAUGGAUGUUCUGCUAAGUUCGAAAAGGCGGAUCUCUUUCCGCCUGAGGGCAACGAUCGUCUCCCCAUGCGACAUCAGCCUUUGAAUCGCGUUGAUAGUAAUUGAGACGUACGCGUCCUUGAGUUGGGACGUGACGCCGCCGUGGGCAUUAUUCGAAACGAGAACACGCGGUUUUCUUAAUUAAGACCUAAUGGCGGCUUCGGCCUCUGUUAUCUCGCGCCAACGAUCUGAAGAAUUGAUUUCUUCAAGGAGGCUGGUCCAGCUGCUAUCGCGCCUAUCACUGUUAAAUCUUGCUUCUUUUUAAAAAUGGCGUAUGUACGUACUGUGGAGGAACGUUGUAUCUGUAAUUGGUCUCGCUAGGUUGGAUACUUCUUCGGCGUCAACCGACGUGUCGCAGGCAAGAAUGUUAAAUUGAAUCUUGAUCUUUCGUCGUUCGGUUUGUGUUCUGUUACUUGUCUGAAGUUUGAACGAGGGAAUUUGUACUUGUGGGGAAUGUUCGCAUAAUGGUUAGUUUUGUUCUGACAGGAUAUACGGAAGAUCAGUGGAUAAACUCGUACAGUUUUAGACAAAUGAAAAUAGUGUAUUCGAUAAAAUUGAAAUUAUGAAUUUCAAGUUAUAAUUGUAAGAUGAUUAAUUGGAUAUAAUUAAAAUGAUUUGAGGGUAUAGAAAUUUGAGGAAAAAUGGAUUGGAACAAUUCUGAAGAAAUGGCAUUAUAUUAUGGCAUCGCUUAUUGAAUAUAUUUUUCAAAUCAUUAUCGCAAGGUACACAGGAUAAAAAUCCCAAACCGAACUGGAAGCAAUCAGUUCCACGAAAGGCAAAAAAAUUUUUUUCCAUUUCUAGGAUCAUGCAGAAUGAAAAUUCUUUCAUACGAUUAUUAUGCUCUUUAUUUGUUCCACUUAUUCGAUUCAAGGUUUCCUUAACGAUUGAUAAUGGAGACAUUAUUCAUAUGUCUGAGAUGCAAAAGUAUCUCAUAAAUAUAAAUUUCAACUGAUUAUCUCGAUGACGGAUAUCCUUGGCAAUUGAUGAAACUUUUAGAUCAGUGUUUCCAACCUUCUUCAAGUCAUUAUCUUCUUUUCAAGUGGAAAUAUUCUCCACGUUCUGAAAACAUUCAUACCACAUAGUUGGUCAAUGAAAAUGCAAAAAAACAACUAUUGAAAAUAUUUGUCAGAUGGCGCAACAGUCACCGACGCAAACAAUGUCAUAUAAUACCCACGUCAUUCGAUAAAAUGCUAAUUCUAUGGAGAUAUGAUAAUUUUUCCUUAAAUUUCCAACAGUCCAAUAAAAAUCGAAUAAAGGAGAAACAAGGUAAAAUUUUUUCACUCAUGUAAAAUCCAACCAAAGGCUUACAAACAAACGAAGCAGCUGCAAGCUGAAAAUGCACGACGAAAGAUCCGCACUUUUUCCUGGUCGACGCACACGCGCGCCCGGCUUGUUGAGGCCGUUAUUUAUGGCCGAGCGGUUUAUUGAAAGUGAGAACACGAUUGUUACCAUGAAAACGUUUCGUUGGCGCAUGCGCAAACGACCGGACAUCCGUGUGUAAGGCUGCGUUAUUGCUUUAUGGGAGCCUCGAUUUCUCGCAUUCGAAAUCCGGUAUAAUGGAAUCUGGCCACUUUCCACGACAAAUCUAUAGAUCUGGUUGGGACAAUCUUUUCUCUUCUGGAAAGAAAUUCUGAUUAUUCAUGUACCGUUGCACGUUUAAGUCGAUUGAGUUUUUGAUUUUUAUAGUGUUGACGAUCAAGAUUCUUGGGUUUUGGAUGACGUGAUAUUGGUAUGUUGGAUCGAAGAAUUUGAAAUUCGCGCCAAUCGCUAGCGAUAACAAGAAUGACUUCUGAGAUAGAGAUAUGCAUUUUUUUUUUAAAGAUUGUUUAAAUUGAAGAUUUUGUUGGUGAAAUAUUGCCCAACACACAACACGAGAUAACUCCUUCAAGUAAGCUAAGCUAUAAUCUUGAAACGAUUACAAAAGGAAAAUAAUUUUAUGAGGCAAAAUUAGAUGGUUUCACAAUGGAUUCUGCAUAUGCCACU